GUCAGAAAAAGCUCAAAGGUUCAUAAUGUCAUUGUGACUAUGAAGAAAACAUUAAGAUAGUAGUCAUGAAGCAAGAUAAGGGAUCAACAGCAGCUUGUGUAAAUAACUUCGACAUUGUGGGGUCAGGAACAUAGCAGAAGAAACCAAGAAAACUGACAGUCAUAUUAAAGCCAAAAAAUCACUAUUUUAUUUCCUUCCAUUUAUUUUUAGGAAACUCUAAAGAUAUUUUUGAAGAGAAGUGCAGCAAUGAGGUUUCUUAUGAUCUACCACUCAACCUGGUGAUGACUGUAUAUGGUAGCAACAAUAUUUAUAACUGUUUCGAUCACUCCUUGACAAUCUAUAUAUUUUCAUGUAUUGAGUAAAAUAUUCAUAGCUGUUGAUGUGUAAUUAUACUCGGUGAUGCCAGCUUGGCAGGCCUCCACCCACUGAUUUUACUUAUCUGUAUAAAUUAGGA